AGUGUGCUAGCUUGCUAGAAUUUAGAUACAGGUGCUGCACGGCUGUCGUCAGCUCGUGUCGUGAGAUGUGGGUUAAGUCCCGCAACGAGCGCAACCCUCGUGUUUAGUUGCUAACAGUUCGGCUGAGAACUCUAAACAGACUGCCUACGCAAGUAGGAGGAAGGUGAGGACGACGUCAAGUCAUCAUGGCCCUUACGGCCAGGGCUACACACGUGCUACAAUGGGGUAUACAAAGAGCAGCGAUACGGUGACGUGGAGCAAAUCUAGAAAAUAGCCUCUCAGUUCGGAUUGUAGUCUGCAACUCGACUACAUGAAGUUGGAAUCGCUAGUAAUCGUAGAUCAGCAAUGCUACGGUGAAUACGUUCCCGGGUCUU
rnacentral:rRNA from 1 species